UUCAACUCUUUAAGAUUGUUGUCAUUUUCUUGUAGCCCACAUUAUUUUGCUUAUGAAGAGUGCUGCAUGGCUUAUUUAUGCUGUGCCUGUGCCUUUGCCUGUGCUUCCGUCUAGUCCUACAAGAACAGGAUUGGGCAAUUCUUCAUGGUGGAUCUGCCGUCGCAGAUUGUUGUUAGGCAAAAUGUGAAGAAAAAUUGCCGCCUUCUGGGUUUUAAAAGGAUUGCUACGACUUCUAAGCAGUCUAGUUGUCAUGAAAUCUCUGGGAAAAAACUGGCAGCUGGCUGGUGGAAGUUAAAUGUAGAUGGUAGCUCAUUGGGCAAUCGGUACGGGCUGGUGCUGGUGGAGAAAUUCCAGAUGGGCACUCUGAAGGGAGAGUGGUUGCAGACUUCUUGAGGUUGAGUCAGAUCCCAUAGAGAGGCUGUUGGAAUACUUAAUUCAAAUCCCGCUGAUUGCCACACCCUUUUGCACUUGGUGAAUGGUUUUGAGCAAGAUAUUCGAGAUUUUGGAGAGUGAGAUGCAGCACCAGUUUAAAGGGGGGUACUUUUGUGCAGAUUUAUAUGGCUUGUUCUGGUGCAGUCAAGAGUCUCUUCUGGCAGAGCGGAACUCCCCACCUCCUGGGCUCAAGCUAAUCCGGCAGGCUGAUGCUAUGGAGAUUACGAGUCAGGCUGAAACAGGACCAAGUGGAUCUUAACCUUGGUUCGUUAUUUAUACAAUGUAGCCACCAUAAUUGACGAGUUUUAACUUCAUUUUUUAAUAUGAAGUUGAAAAUUUCAGUUUCAUCCCCAAUUGAAGUAGUAACCAAUGUGCAUUCAGAAUCCAAUCUGCAAAUCUUCUCAAAAGGUAUUCAAAUAUAUAUGCAUUCUCGUCCA